GGGCUCACACAAGCGGUGGAGCAUGUGGUUCAAUUCGAAGCAACGCGCAGAACCUUACCUGGGCUUGACAUGCUUGGAUUAUCCCCAUGAAAGUGGGGUAGGCCCUUCGGGGUACAACAAGUACAGGUGCUGCAUGGCUGUCGUCAGCUCGUGUCGUGAGAUGUCGGGUUAAGUCCCAUAACGAGCGAAACCUUUGCCCUUAGUUACCAGCGGGUUGUGCCGGGGACUCUAAGGGGACUGCCGGUGUCAAACCGGAGGAAGGUGGAGAUGACGUCAAGUCCUCAUGGCCUUUAUGCCCAGGGCCACACACGUGCUACAAUGGCGUGGACAAAGCGAGCCUAAAGCGCAAGCUGGUGGAAAACGCAAAAAUCACGCCCCAGUUCAGAUCGGAGGCUGCAACUCGCCUCCGUGAAGUUGGAAUCGCUAGUAAUCGCGGAUCAGCCACGCCGCGGUGAAUGUGUUCCUGAGCCUU
rnacentral:rRNA from 1 species